rnacentral:misc_RNA from 1 species
GGAAUAUUGGUCAAUGGACGCGAGUCUGAACCAGCCAAGUAGCGUGAAGGAUGACUGCCCUAUGGGUUGUAAACUUCUUUUAUAUGGGAAUAAAGUGGUCCACGUGUGGAUUUUUGUAUGUACCAUAUGAAUAAGGAUCGGCUAACUCCGUGCCAGCAGCCGCGGUAAUACGGAGGAUCCGAGCGUUAUCCGGAUUUAUUGGGUUUAAAGGGAGCGUAGGCGGAUUGUUAAGUCAGUUGUGAAAGUUUGCGGCUCAACCGUAAAAUUGCAGUUGAUACUGGCAGUCUUGAGUGCAGUAGAGGUGGGCGGAAUUCGUGGUGUAGCGGUGAAAUGCUUAGAUAUCACGAAGAACUCCGAUUGCGAAGGCAGCUCACUGGAGUGUAACUGACGCUGAUGCUCGAAAGUGUGGGUAUCAAACAGGA